GACGAACGCUGGCGGCGUGCUUAACACAUGCAAGUCGAACGGAAAGGCCCUGCUUGCAGGGUACUCGAGUGGCGAACGGGUGAGUAACACGUGGGUGAUCUGCCCUGCACUUCGGGAUAAGCCUGGGAAACUGGGUCUAAUACCGGAUAGGAGCCAUUUUUAGUGUGAUGGUUGGAAAGUUUUUUCGGUGUAGGAUGAGCUCGCGGCCUAUCAGCUUGUUGGUGGGGUAAUGGCCUACCAAGGCGGCGACGGGUAGCCGGCCUGAGAGGGUGGACGGCCACAUUGGGACUGAGAUACGGCCCAGACUCCGACGGGAGGCAGCAGUGGGGAAUAUUGCACAAUGGGCGCGAGCCUGAUGCAGCGACGCCGCGUGGGGGAUGACGGCCUUCGGGUUGUAAACUCCUUUCGCUAGGGACGAAGCUUUUUGUGACGGUACCUAGAUAAGAAGCACCGGCUAACUACGUG
rnacentral:rRNA from 1 species